UACGGAGGGUGCGAGCGUUGUCCGGAAUCAUUGGGCGUAAAGGGUGCGUAGGCGGGUUUUUAAGUCAGGGGUGAAAUCCUGGAGCUCGACUCCAGAACUGCCUUUGAUACUGAAGAUCUUGAGUCCGGGAGAGGUGAGUGGAACUGCGAGUGUAGAGGUGAAAUUCGUAGAUAUUCGCAAGAACACCAGUGGCGAAGGCGCUCACUGGCCCGGUACUGACGCUGAGGCACGAAAGCGUGGGGGAGCAAACAGG
rnacentral:rRNA from 1 species